rnacentral:tRNA from 1 species
GGGCGCAUAACUCAGUCGGUUAGAGUGCGAUCCUUACAAGGUCGAAGUCGCAGGUUCGAGUCCUGCUGCGCCCA